rnacentral:tRNA from 1 species
AAGGAAGUGGCAGAGUGGUUAUGUGGCUGGCUUGAAACCAGUCUAUGGGGGUUCAAUUCCUCCCUUCCUCG